GAUAAUUCAGUCUUUUCUUUAGCAGGGUUAAUCAAAUUUUGCUUUUUAUUAUUAAUAGUUUAGAAAAGAUUGUCCAGAGUUGCAUUCCUUUGAUGAUGUUACAUACUCUUUUAGGGCUGCCAUCAGACUUGGCCAAACCUAUCCUGUAUGUCUGGAGGCAGGGACCCACCUCUAAUCCGUGGUGGCCUCACAGUGACUUGUUAGGAGCUUUGUGUCAUGUAUUUCAUGUCAGACCAGGAAGAAAUGGAAAACACUUUCCAUGUUUGCUUUCCUCAUCUUCACUAAUUGGAUCCCAUACGUUCUGUGUGUUUCCGACCUCCUUACAGAAGGAGCCUACUCUGUUUUUAUGUGAUUUGUGUGUGGCCCAAGUAAACAUGUUCUUGUGCUUUGUGCAGUCUUCAUGAUUUUUGACAGUUCUAAAGACAUCCACUGAUGUGAAUGUCUGAUGUAAGUGAUGUCUGUCUUGUUGAAAACUACACAAGCAAAACAAAUACAGGCAAUGUUUAGUCUUGGAAUAGGCUAGUCAACAUCCUGUAGCAGUUUUCCUGUUAAAAAGUAACUUUCAAAUGUUUUAAGAAACAUCUUUUUUGUCCGUUGUACCUUGAUUCUUUGUAAAUGGAAUCAUAAUUUUGAACGAAUGAAUUUUUCAUUAAACAGAGUUGGGGGAAUUAGUGUUCAUUCUAACAGGUUUAGUGAAGUAAUCAAUGAAGUAAAAAAUCAGUGGGUGGGGCCACCUGGUGUGUCCUGCUGAGUGGACUGGUUGUGGUUUCCCUUUCUGUUACCAUCAUCUUCCUUCUGCUUUUUAUUCCUUCUGUUUUUUUGUUUGUUUGUUUUUUGCUUCCUGUUUAGGAGUGUUCUCAUAAUACCUUUCAUCUCUGUGUUGUCAUUUCAUUACCCAUAUUUUCUUAGCUAUCAUGAUCCUUUCCCUUCAUGAUUUUGACCAUUACCGUUUUUAGUUUCCAUUGUGUUACAUUUGUUUUGAUAUUUUGAAGUUUCUACCAGACUUUUUCUUUUGUUUUUUUUUCCCCUCCCUUCCAGUAAACUACUUCCCUCUGUUUGAAUUUUGAUAUGAUCGGUAAUUCUUUAAAAGUAUACAAAGUUAUUCUGAAUUUAAGGCAAGUACAAGUGCAACUCAGAUGCAUUUUUUAUUGCCCCUACGUGUACUGAGCUCCAUGACUAUGAAAUAAAAUAACUGUACACCACAUAGAGUGAUUUACAGGUGACUGUGUGAAGGAGUUAUAUCAUAGGAAAACACAUUUCUUCAGGCCCUUUUGCUGUGUCAUAUGAAGGUUGAAAUGAGUUCAUACUGACGUUUCCAGCUCUAGUCCAGAACCACGUGGUUUCCUCCAGCCUUUCCUUGCUUCUCUGUAACUCACUCUCCAACAUGAGAAAUCUUCUUUGCCCACUUUUAAAAAUUGUGGUAUUUGAUUUGUUAGAGGCAAGAUCCCUGUCGUCUCAUCUUUUUAUUUCCUAAAUGAAGCACAGUGUCUCCUACAGAUGUGGCUCUGCACCGAUGUUGAAUUGACAUGUUUAGCUUUGAUGUUUACCAUCAGAAUUCUCUACAAAAUAGUUGCCUCAGCUUCCAUGCUCAUGUUCUGACUGCCUGCUUCCUCUCUAUUUCUCAUCCCUAACCCAGGGCCAGCAGGAUGAGGCAAGGUUUUCGUCUUGGUCCUCUGUGCUUCACAUAAGCUCAGAGAAGUUUUCUGCAUGGGCCAAUGGACAGUAACUGAUAGGAAUAAUCAUUCACUCAUUAUGUCACUUUCCCAAACUUACUCUGCAUCAGACCAGUGCCAAGCCUCAUCAGGAGCUCCAGUUCCAGACUCAGAGUCCUGUUGGGAUAACAUGUAUGCAAUGACUGUCCCAGACUGCAAGCUGGGAACCAGGAAUCAGCCUAGCACAGCUGUGCUGGUAACUUGUAAAUUCCUACACCUGGAACCUCCAAGUCUGAAGACACCACACUUCCAGCUUUGCUCUAUUCGAAUGACCUUUUUGUGAAAACUCAAAACACUUUCCACAAAAUGCUUAUAUGAGGAGGCACCAAAGGGCGUGCCAGGGAGAGCCUGCACCAGCUCCCCAGAAUCCGGGGAGGCGCCCCUGCCCCGCUGCACCCAUCCCGUCCAUCUGUUCCUCACUUGCCUGCUGAAGACACUCGGUUGUUUCAGCUUUUGGUUAUUACGAAUAAAGCUGCUAUGAACAUUCUUGGACAAGCAAUUUUGCAGGCAUCUGCUUUCUUUUCUCUUGGCCCGCAGACACUCGCGGUGGGGUCUCACAGCCAUUGCAACCGUGGAAACGCGUGGAUUUCGGCUGCUAACACGAGGCAGGCUCCUGCUACGCUUGAGGAUGCGCGCGUGACGGCAGCGCCAAAGCACGGGGCCGGUGCGGAGUGUGCGGGCCCC